CUCUCUCACAUACACACUCACUCUCACACACACACACACACACACUCACACACACGCACACACAGUUCAGCCGAUUUAUCAUAAUGUGCUUUAUCUGAAAAGUAAGUAUCUUACCUCGGGAUAAAGAGAGGAAAAAGCGGUUUGGGUUCAGAUUGACAGCAGAGGACGGGGUAGACAGAGCGAGGCAGAGAGGGAGAUACGGAGAGAGAGAAAAAAGAGAGAGAAUUAAAGGAAUAAAAGGGGAAAGAACUGAAUGGAAUAAUGUUUGGAGAUGUUGGUGAACUUCUGGAGGGCCAUGGUCGACCCCAGGACGAGGCAGGUGCAAGUUUAGUGAGGGGGGACACUUUUUGACUGUGGUGAGAUCUGGACAUGACACUGGUCGGCUCAGGCCUGGUCCGGACGGACAGAGGAACGUAUGGAUGUAGAGUGAACAGCAGGGCUGGACAGUGGAGAUGUUCUCCAGAUGAAUGGAGGUCUGGGCAGCUGAACCAGGGCAUGAAUAAAAACACAGCACUGAAUCCAGAGAACUGCAAGGUUUAAAUAAGUUUAUUAAGACACUCACAAACAAACAAACUGCAACAAAUUCAUGUACACAGACAACACUAUCCAAAAAACAGAUUUAUUUUUGUCAAUUAGAAUAUACAUCAAAUGCAUUGAUUACAAUACCUGAAUCAUUUCAAAAAUACAUGAUACAAUACAUUGUGUUACACUUCUGAAUGAUCGGCUACAGCUAAUAGUCCAAAUUAUACGAAAGGUUUCGAUAAUUUUUUUUAAAUACACUGCAAAUUUGCACAUAACUGCUAUAGUUCUUUGAUUACAUGUAUUUAAUAUAUUGUAAUUGGCAUUAUACAUCUACAAUUCUGUUUUGUAAACAUGUAAAAUAAUUGUUCCAUAUACACAUCAACAUGCAUGACUUUUUAUACUGUUUUUUUUAACUAAAACACAAAUCUAGCACAUUUAUUUUCUAUUUUUUUUGUAAUGCCAUUAUUUUUUUCUGUCUUUGUAUGUGUUUAUAAUCAUGUACAGUCAUUGUGCCAUACACACAUACAUGUGUUAUUAUUACAUAUGCCAUGGCAUUUUGACAAAUUUGACUCAAAUAUAAUUAAAUACAUUUUUAAUUGAGCACUUCCAACAAUAACAAAAACAACCCUAUAGUAAAUUAAAUGUAAUAUUAAAUGUGAUUUGAUUAGACUAGAUAUGUCAUUCUUGAAGACACUUUAAAUAAUAUACAAUAGUAAAGACAAUAACUGAUUUGAUGGUUGAUAUAUGGUUAUUUGUUUGAAGGGCUAAGUGUUAUUCUGUUUAUUAUUGUAUCAAAUGCACCAAAUGCAUUAAAUUUGCUUUAAUCUUCUGUAUUCAUUUAUAUAUAAACAAUUACAAACAUAGACACAACAGUAUACACAAGUAAAAAGUCAAACUUUGGAUCAAGCAUGUUUUUUUUUAACAAUUUCAGUUUAUUAAUGCAAAAAAAAAAAAACCCCAAAAAAACACUUUUCAUUUAUUUUGUGAAAUACAAUGUAAAUAUGGGAUAGCUGAAAACUGAUAAUAUCAAUAAAAUACAUUACUUUUCAAUUGUAUGUGAGUUUUAACAAACUUUGUAUGUUUAAUAUUUUUGUACAUGUUAAAUGUAAUCCUAUAUCUGUUAGAGUGUUGAUAGUAAAAGCUGUAGAGUGUGUGUAAAGCUGUAAGAGUGUGUAACAUUACAGUAAUAGGAUAGUGUAGUAGUGGUGGUAGUAGUAGUGUGGAAGGAUAUAAAGUCUUACACCACAGCUAAUAACACCCUGUAGCACACAACUCUCUCAUUUCAAUACAUUUCACACUUAUACUCUUAAUGCUGUGUGUUUGCAAGGUAAGUAAAUGUAUGUAAAGUCUUGUAAAGUCUUCAUAAGACAUUAAUAAACAAUAUUAAGAAAAUAAAAUAUAAA